rnacentral:rRNA from 1 species
AUUGAACGCUGGCGGCAGGCCUAACACAUGCAAGUCGAGCGAGCGGCGGAAGGGUGAGUAAUGUCGGGGAAACUGCGUGAUGGAGGGGGAUAACUACUGGAAACGGUAGCUAAAACCGAAUACAAUAAGAUGUGCCCAGUUGGGAUUAGCUAGUAGGUGGGGUAACGGCCCACCUAGGCGACGAUCCCUAGCUGGUCUGAGAAGAUGACCAGCCACACUGGAACUGAUACACGGUCCAGAAUCCUACGGGAGGCAGCAGUGGGGAAUAUUGCACAAUGGGCGCAAGCCUGAUCCAGCCAUGCCGCGUGAGUGAAGAAGGCCUUCGGGUUGUAAAGCACUUUCAGCGGGGAGGCGUUACCCGCAGAAGAAGCACCGGCUAACUCCGUGCCAGCAGCCGCGGUAAUAC